AGAGUUUGAUCCUGGCUCAGAAUCAACGCUGGCGGCGUGCCUAACACAUGCAAGUCGAACGAGAAAGUGGAGCAAUCCAUGAGUAAAGUGGCGCACGGGUGAGUAACACGUGACUAACCUACCCUUGAGUGGGGAAUAACCUGGAGAAAUCCGGGCUAAUACCGCAUAACACCUACGGGUCAAAGGAGCAAUUCGCUUAAGGAGGGGGUCGCGGCAGAUUAGCUAGUUGGCGGGGUAAUGGCCCACCAAGGCGGUGAUCUGUAUCCGGCCUGAGAGGGCGCACGGACACACUGGAACUGAAACACGGUCCAGACUCCUACGGGAGGCAGCAGUGGGGAAUUUUGCGCAAUGGGGGAAACCCUGACGCAGCAACGCCGCGUGGAGGAUGAAGUCCCUUGGGACGUAAACUCCUUUCGAUCGGGACGAUUAUGACGGUACCGGAAGAAGAAGCCCCGGCUAACUUCGUGCCAGCAGCCGCGGUAAUACGAGGGGGGCAAGCGUUGUUCGGAAUUAUUGGGCGUAAAGGGUGCGUAGGCGGUUCGGUAAGUCUUGUGUGAAAUCUUCGGGCUCAACUCGAAGUCUGCACGAGAAACUGCCGGGCUUGAGUGUGGGAGAGGUGAGUGGAAUUUCCGGUGUAGCGGUGAAAUGCGUAGAUAUCGGAAGGAACACCUGUGGCGAAAGCGGCUCACUGGACCAUAACUGACGCUGAUGCACGAAAGCUAGGGGAGCAAACAGGAUUAGAUACCCUUGUAGUCC
rnacentral:rRNA from 1 species